UGUGUGAAGAAGGCCUUCGGGUUGUAAAGCACUUUCAGUCGUGAGGAAGGUAAUGUAGUUAAUAGCUGCAUUAUUUGACGUUAGCGACAGAAGAAGCACCGGCUAACUCCGUGCCAGCAGCCGCGGUAAUACGGAGGGUGCGAGCGUUAAUCGGAAUUACUGGGCGUAAAGCGCAUGCAGGUGGUUUGUUAAGUCAGAUGUGAAAUCCCGGGGCUCAACCUCGGAAUUGCAUUUGAAACUGGCAGACUAGAGUACUGUAGAGGGGGGUAGAAUUUCAGGUGUAGCGGUGAAAUGCGUAGAGAUCUGAAGGAAUACCGGUGGCGAAGGCGGCCCCCUGGACAGAUACUGACACUCAGAUGCGAAAGCGUGGGGAGCAAACAGGAUUAGAUACCCUGGUAGUCCACGCCGUAAACGAUGUCUACUUGGAGGUUGUGGCCUUGAGCCGUGGCUUUCGGGAGCUAACGCGUUAAGUAGACCGCCUGGGGAGUACGGUCGCAAAGAUUAAAACUCAAAUGAAUUGACGGGGGCCCGCACAAGCGGUGGAGCAUGUGGUUUAAUUUCGAUGCAACGCGAAGAACCCUUACCUACUCUUGACAUCCAGAGAACUUUCCAGAGAUGGAUUGGUGCCUUCGGGAACUCUGAGACAGGUGCUGCAUGGCUGUCGUCAGCUCGUGUUGUGAAUUGUUGGGUUAAGUC
rnacentral:rRNA from 1 species